UACAGAGGGUGCAAGCGUUGUUCGGAAUUAUUGGGCGUAAAGCGCGUGUAGGCGGCUUUGCAAGUCGGGUGUGAAAGCCCUCAGCUCAACUGAGGAAGGGCGCCCGAAACUGCAGAGCUUGAGUACCGGAGAGGGUGGCGGAAUUCCCCAAGUAGAGGUGAAGUUCGUAGAUAUGGGGAGGAACACCGGUGGCGAAGGCGGCCACCUGGACGGUCACUGACGCUGAGACGCGAAAGCGUGGGUAGCAAACAGG
rnacentral:rRNA from 1 species